GAGCCAGCGAGCGCCGCCGCCGCCGCCCGGACGGGAACGCAGCGCGCGCGGCCAUGGCCUCGGGCCCCGCGGAGGCGGACACGCGGCAGAGGCUGCUGCGCACUGUCAAGAAGGAGGUGAAGCAGAUCAUGGAGGAGGCCGUCACACGGAAGUUUGUCCACGAGGACAGCAGCCACAUCAUCUCCUUCUGUGGUGAGUCCGUGGCCUGUGG